CUUGCUGGAAUCCGGCACACACUUGAGACAGUAGGAAAAUAAUCUGAGGAAACUGAGCAAAAUGACUUAUAGUCCAGAAGGAAUAUUUUUUCUACCAUGUUAAUGUAAUUGGAUGGGAAAUUCAACUAAUAAUCCAUCCCUGUUAUGCCAGUUUUAAAAAGGGCAAGAAGUAUAUUCUCUAUACAUUACAUUUGCCCCUGGGGAGAAAUUUGCCUGCUAUAGCA
rnacentral:lncRNA from 1 species